AUGACCCGAGAAGGGUAAAUUGAUGAAAUUAAUUUAAUUACGUGCUUCUAGAACUAUAUUAUUAUAUAGUAUGCUUGUGUUGUCUUUUCAGGUGUGUUCUGACAGGUUGGCGUGGUAUAGUCACAACCGGGUAUUUCGGGCCGAAUUGGGUUCGGGCCCGAAAUGCAAUUUGAAUUGAAAUAUUUGGCAUUUUUAUUUAAUAGUGAUAAUUUGAAAUUAAUUGGGUUUGAAAUGUACAUGAAAUGACAAUUAUGCCCUUGUGAGUGAUUAUGCAUGAUUGUAUGGCCCUAGGGGCAAAAUGGUCUUUUGACCUUUAUUGAUUUACUUUAAUAAAAUUGAUUUUUGAGGGAAUGAAAUUAGAAAAUGCUGGCUUUUGCUUCCUCUUGGCUGACUCCCUCUCUCUCUCUAACCCUCUCUUAUUUUCAACUUGAAAUUGGUGAGAGAUUAGCUUGAAUUAAAGAUUGUUUGUUGGGAAAAUUGUGUUGAAGGCUUGGAGUUAGCUUGUGCAAGGAAUUGAGAUUGUGUGACUAGGAUUACCGGCACCUGAUCAGGAGCACCCAGGGGUUUGGAAUCUCCUUUAUUGCGGGACAACAGGAAAGGGUAAGUCAGUGGCUGAUCAACCAUGAGUUUCAGGAGCAGGGCGAAGAAUGUACAUGUUCAUGCCACUUCAGACCAAGCGGGUUAUGGGUCUAACAGUGUUGAAUUUUGUAUUCUGUUUUGCCGCUUAGGUCGGCUAGUAAGAAAGAACUUGUAAUAAGUUUGUAAAUAUUUUUGGGAUCCCAACUAUUUUGAAAAGUUUAAAUAUAUUACAAGUUUAUUUUCAGUCA